AUUGAACGCUGGCGGCAUGCCUUACACAUGCAAGUCGAACGGUAACGGGCCUUCGGGUGCCGACGAGUGGCGAACGGGUGAGUAAUACAUCGGAACGUGCCCGAUCGUGGGGGAUAACGAGGCGAAAGCUUUGCUAAUACCGCAUACGAUCUACGGAUGAAAGCAGGGGACCGCAAGGCCUUGCGCGGACGGAGCGGCCGGUGGCAGAUUAGGUAGUUGGUGGGAUAAAAGCUUACCAAGCCGACGAUCUGUAGCUGGUCUGAGGGGAUGAUCAGCCACACUGGGACUGAGACACGGCCCAGACUCCUACGGGAGGCAGCAGUGGGGAAUUUUGGACAAUGGGCGCAAGCCUGAUCCAGCCAUGCCGCGUGCAGGAUGAAGGCCUUCGGGUUGUAAACUGCUUUUGUACGGAACGAAAAGCCUUCUUUUAAUACAGGAGGGUCAUGACGGUACCGUAAGAAUAAGCACCGGCUAACUACGUG
rnacentral:rRNA from 1 species